AGAGUUUGAUCAUGGCUCAGAACGAACGCUGGCGGCGUUAACACAUGCAAGUCGAACGAGAAACUCCGAGCUUGCUCGGAGGAGUAAAGUGGCGCACGGGUGAGUAACGCGUGGGUAACCUACCCCCGAAAUCGGGAUAACUCCGCGAAAGCGGUGCUAAUACCGAAUGUAGUCCCAAAGAUUGUGGUCUAUGGGAUAAAAGGUGACCUCUUCAUGAAAGUUGCCGUUCAGGGAUGGGCCCGCGUACCAUUAGCUUGUUGGUAGGGUAACGGCCUACCAAGGCCUCGAUGGUUAGCUGGUCUGAGAGGAUGAUCAGCCACACUGGAACUGGAACACGGUCCAGACUCCUACGGGAGGCAGCAGUGAGGAAUUUUGCGCAAUGGGGGAAACCCUGACGCAGCAACGCCGCGUGAGUGAAGAAGGCUUUCGGGUUGUAAAGCUCUGUCAAGCGGGAAAAAAAGCUCGCGAUCAAUAGUCGCGAGACUUGAUGGUACCGCUAAAGGAAGCACCGGCUAACUCCGUGCCAGCAGCCGCGGUAAUACGGAGGGUGCAAGCGUUGUUCGGAAUUAUUGGGCGUAAAGCGCGUGUAGGCGGUAAGGUAAGUCAGAUGUGAAAGCCCUGGGCUCAACCCGGGAAGUGCAUUUGAUACUGCCUUUCUUGAGUAUGGGAGAGGAGAGUGGAAUUCCCAGUGUAGAGGUGAAAUUCGUAGAUAUUGGGAGGAACAUCCGUGGCGAAGGCGACUCUCUGGACCAAUACUGACGCUGAGNNNCGAAAGCGUGGGGAGCAAACAGGAUUAGAUACCCUAGUAGUCC
rnacentral:rRNA from 1 species